rnacentral:rRNA from 1 species
GACGAACCGUGCGAACGUUGUUCGGAAUCACUGGGCGUAAAGGGUGCGUAGGCGGUCAGGUAAGUCUGAUGUGAAAUCUCUGGGCUUAACCCAGAAAUGGCAUUGGAUACUAUUUGGCUUGAGAGUUGGAGGGGGGACUGGAAUUCUUGGUGUAGCAGUGAAAUGCGUAGAUAUCAAGAGGAACACCAGUGGCGAAGGCGAGUCCCUGGACAGUUACUGACACUGAGGCACGAAGGCCAGGGGAGCAAACGGG